CUACGCCAGCCUUUAACAGGAAAACCCUUAUUUUGACAUAUGUUUACAUUUGUACUCCAGCUGCGAGACCUUAGAAUGCCCAUGGUUCUUUGACAGUUAUCUCAAGCGCUACAUGAAACCCACCAGUUUAACUUCUCGUUCCUUGAACGCAGCUAAAGGCAAUCUCUUUUCACAAUCAUCCAUAAACGACCAAACUUCA